rnacentral:rRNA from 1 species
AUUGAACGCUGGCGGCAGGCCUAACACAUGCAAGUCGAACGGUAGCACAGAGAGCUUGCUCUCGGGUGACGAGUGGCGGACGGGUGAGUAAUGUCUGGGAAACUGCCCGAUGGAGGGGGAUAACUACUGGAAACGGUAGCUAAUACCGCAUAACGUCGCAAGACCAAAGUGGGGGACCUUCGGGCCUCACACCAUCGGAUGUGCCCAGAUGGGAUUAGCGAGUAGGUGGGGUAAAGGCUCCCCUAGGCGACGAUACCUAGGUGGUCUGAGAGGAUGACCAGCCACACUGGAACUGAGACACGGUCCAGACUCCUACGGGAGGCAGCAGUGGGGAAUAUUGCACAAUGGGCGCAAGCCUGAUGCAGCCAUGCCGCGUGUAUGAAGAAGGCCUUCGGGUUGUAAAGUACUUUCAGCGGGGAGGAAGGCGGUGAAGUUAAUAACUUCACCGAUUGACGUUACCCGCAGAAGAAGCACCGGCUAACUCCGUGCCAGCCGCCGCCGUAA